ensembl:snRNA U6 U6 spliceosomal RNA
GUGCUCACUUCAGCAGCACGUGUUCUAGAACUGAAACCAAGCAGAGAUUAGCAUGGCUCCUGCACAAGGAUGACCUGAAGAAAUUCACAGUAAGUUCCUGUGUAA